GUGAAUCAUCGAAUCUUUGAACGCAAAUUGCACUUUCUGGUAUUCCGGAAAGUAUGCCUGUUUGAGGGUCAGUUAAAUAAAAAUCGGUGUUGUUGCUGCUUUUCGUGGUGACGCGUCGGAAUUGAGUUGUCUUACCUUCGGUUAAGUGACUUAAAAUUUUGCAUGAUUUUCGAACGUAUUUUAAUUUUUUUCCGAAGGUUGGGGUUUUGGAUACUUUUAUGAGUU
rnacentral:misc_RNA from 1 species